GACGAACGCUGGCGGCGGGCUUAACACAUGCAAGUCGAGCGGAAAGGCCCUGCUUUUUUGGGGUGUCCGAGUGGCGAACGGGUGUGUAACCUGUGAGUAACCUGCCUUUGACUUGGGAAUAACUUCAGAAAACUGGUGCUAAUACCGGCUAGCAGCUCCUGCUGCAGGGUGGGGGUCGGAACGUUUCGGCGGAUGGGGCUGGACUCGCGGCUAAUCAGUUUGUGGGUGGGGUAGUGGCUUACCCAGGCUUUGACGGGUAGCCGGCCUGAGAGGGUGACCGGCCACAUUGGGACUGAGAUACGGCCCAGACUCCUACGGGAGGCAGCAGUGGGGAAUAUUGCACAAUGGGCGGGAGCGUGAUGCAGCAACGCCGCGUGCGGGAUGACGGCCUUCGGGGUGUAAACCGCUUUCGGCUGUGACGAAGCGUGAGUGACGGUAAUGGGUAAAGAAGCACCGGCUAACUACGUG
rnacentral:rRNA from 1 species